UUCUGGAUGUCUUCUUCCUUGAGAGUCUUUAUGAAGUCUGAUCAAAGCUAUGGUGAAUGCUGCUGCUGAGCACCAUCCAACAGAAAGGCAAGCUCCUAAAUAUAGGACAGUGUGUCUUGAUCCACUUUAUUCAUCACAUCUGGCACCCGUGGCUUUUGGCUCUUUCCCAAAGUCAAAAUGACCAUGAAAGGUGCCCAUACUGGAGUCCAGCUCUGCAAGCAUUUCACACAAGAAGGACUUUGGUUGUAAAAUAUGAAAUACGCUGAAGGAGAUGUUCAAAUGCUAGAUCAAGAAAGGAGGAGAGACUAGGACAUCUGGAAAUCAUUAGCAUCAAUCAAGGAAUCAUUGCUUUACAAAUAUUGCUGUGAGUAUUCCUUGUCAGUUAAAACACUAGCUAUGUAGGGGAGGAAUGAAAAGGUGGUUUUGCUGAGUAAAGAGUAAUUCACUUAGACCCAAGGAGAGCAGAUGUUGGCUCCCCUUCCUGAAACGUCAGCCUGGAAAGUCCGCUGUGUUGUGUUACCGCAGGCAAGAAACUGCCUGGUUAGUCUCAGUUUAUUGUUUGUAGUAGAGACUUAGCUCCCUGGGGUCCCAUGGAGACACAUCGUCUAAAUGGACUUACUUGAUGCUUUAGGAUCCAUUGAUUCCAAGUCAUCCAGUCAGCAACAGGAAAAAGGAGAAAAAGGCAGUCUUUAGGGAGGAAUUAUUUUUGGAAUUCAUGGGAAAACAUCAAACAUCCUUCAAGGGUGAACCGAAUUGAUAACAACAACCACAACAAGAACAACAACAAAAACUCCAGUCAUUUCCUGCAGUCAGCAGUGGAUGUGACACUGCACCAUGGUGUUAGUGUACGUACCAUAUGCCGAAGACAGACGAUUGUAUGGUUUCAUCCCCAGAAACUGUUUCCUAGAGGGGGAAUUUUAGGCUCCUCUUCAUUGUGGAGUAUUUUGUUCAAUGAGAAAAAGGAACUAGAGGAUUUCCCAGUUUAUGCUGAAAUAUUUUGAAACCUCUCAACUUUCACCAGCCAAGACAAGACUUUUCAAGUGGUGUUGAAUCCUUUGACCUUAGACAAAGCCCUUUACAACUGUUUUUUUCAUCACAGAAAAAUGACAAAAUGGAAUGCUGCAGUUUAAAUCACUUGUAAUACAAUAAAUCAUGACUUUAUUUUAUUUUCCUAUGGAGGAGGAAGGCAGUGGAUACAUUUUAGUUGCAAUAUGGGCCAGAUUUAACUUUAGGAAGGUCACUGGGCCUAUAGUUCUGUUAUAACUUCUAAUGCUGACACAGAACCUGAAAACUCAUUCCUGGAACAUGCAUACAGUCUAACCACUUUUCCUGUUUCCUUCUAGAUUUCUUCCUACAGAGAAAAUCUAUAUGACUGUAUUAGUCGCAAAGCACAACUUCAUGAAGGAUUGUUAUUAGGCAUUAUAAUUCAUGUAUAAACAAUAUUUAAUAAGUUUAAAGUUAAGGUAAAAGAUGUUUGGGAAACACUGUACAUACCACCUAGUGAGUACAUCCUGCUAAAACACCAGAAAGAAGGUGUAGCUGCUUCUGUUUUGCAUAAAAAGUGCUUAUUCUUUUAAAAACAUCAAUUAAGAAAAGUUUGCAGUAUUUUACUUGUGACUACUAUGACUGAAAUAUGGAGAGUUGAGAUCUAUGAUAUGCCUUUUAUUUUUCUGACUUAUCAGAUCUUAAAAACUGUACAUUUAAUCCUUAGUUCGUUUUUACAUUUUGAGAGCUUCUGGUAGACCCUCUUCACCUGAUAUUUUAAUGGGAGCCUGGGUGGAAUGGUUCACUUUAUGACCACAGCACACAGAGCAGGGAGAGCGGCAGUGCUUAGUUCAGCCUCUUGUCCUGCUGAACUUCCAAGACCAUUGUUCUUCCAAGCUGCUUGCUGACUAACCCAGGCCCUUACAAGAGAUGUAUCUCAAGGCUGCUCUCUGCUGCUCUGUGCUAAUGCUGAGUCCUAAGGGCAGAGCCACAGCUGACAAACCUGGGGAGUGGGGACAGCUACUGGGCGAAUAACUGCACCACAGGCAGCUCAUCCUUUGUGAGGUGCUUCCACGGGGGUUCAGGGUACUUGGGUGUCAUCAACAGGGUGCUGCGGACAGGCUGGGGAGGAGAGCUUCAGAGUGACAGCCAGUUUGGAAGGCCAAGAAAGAAGGCCCAAAGAGCCACACAAGGGUGUUUGAAAUGCAACUUUUCCAAGGCAUUUUUAUUUUGAUAAAAUGCUGGAGGUGGCAGGACCAAAUGGACCCUCCUGAACAAAAUGGCAGACAGUUGGACCAAAUGGAACCUCCUGAUCAAAAUGGCAAGGUGCCGUGAGAGAUUAUGGGAAGGGUGUCCUUCUUGGUGCUUUUAUCUACAGCUCCCCGGCCUACCUCCCUCCAAGCUACCAAAAACCACUGCGCCUCCUUUCUUAAAAGACAUCAUUGUUCUAGAAACAAAUUUCAGACUUUCAGAAUCUAUCAAAGGACUGUAUCAUAAAAGACAGUUUAGAAAACAGAAGAAAAUUCUAUUCUACUAUGCUGGCACAAAUAAAUUUUUUUACUUAUAUCAACGCUGAAAAGUUGCCUAGUAGGUACAGUUAGAAUUAUAAUACACAUCUACCUUUGUGUCCAGAUGAGCAUGAGCAUGUCUGUACUGCUACAUGGCUAUUGAUCUGUUGAGUGGGGGAGCCAUGAUUUAUUAACAUUUUCAGCAGUGGUGGGGCAUCAGGUUGUGCUACCUGUCAAUAGGACGAGCACAGCUUUAUUCAUGUCACUUUUCUUUUGGAAAGAGUCCCAGAAGAGAGAGUCUGAGGUUGAACGUUGUGAGCACUGUUCUAGCUGUCUUUCUCUUUAUGAACUUCUUUUUACAUUUUUAAUUUUCCUGGUGCUGUGGGUCAAAUCCAGAGCCUUAAGCAUGCUAGGCAACCACUCUACCAUGGACCUAUAUCACAAGUCCUUCUUUCUGGAUCUUGAUACCAGACACUAUCUAAAAGUCCUGUGCAAAUACGCAGAGCCACUGUGGUCUGGUUGUACAAAUACACCUUUUAGCCAUUUUUGAUACUUCAUGUGGUUGGACUCCAUAGGCCCACUCCUGAUUCUUACACACUUCUGAUUGGUAAGACUGUAGUCUUCUGGAUCAGAGCUCUUCCUCCUGUGUUAGUUCCUUUCUCAUUGCAGUGAUGCAGUGCUCAACUCCAACAGCUUAAAGACAAUUUGUUUGGCUCAGGUUUCAGGUCUGUGGUCAACUGGCUCCAAGGCAGGAAAAACUUGGUGGAAGAGCCAGGGCAGAGGACACCUGCUCACCUCAUGGUGGACAGGAAGCAGAGAGAGAAGGGAGGGGCCAGCGAGGGAGAGGGACCCUUCCAGCUCAUGCCUCCAAUGACCGCCUCUUCUGUCCAUAACCCAGUAAUCCAAUUGCCUCCCACAAGCCCCACCUCUGAGUGCGUGAGGCCUUGAGGAGAUAGUCCAGGUCUAAACUGUAAUGUUUACUUUAAACUGGUAAAAUAGGUAUGACAUAGAAUUGACCAUUUUAUCCUGUUUUAAGUGUGCGGCUCAGAGUGUUCAGUGCAUUCCCUUUGCUGUGGGCUCAUCUCCAGCACCUCUUUCAUCUUGCAGAACUGAAGCUUGGUGCCCACUGAGUGUGCACUUGUCCUUGUUUCUCUGUCCCCACAGCUGGCACCCACCAUUGCCUUCCUGUCCCUAGGAACCAGACUACUUUAGGUAAGGCAUAUAAAUAAAAGCUUACACUAUUUGUCCAUUUA